AACGCGAAGAACCUUACCUGGGCUCGAAAUGGAGUGGACCGGAGUAGAAAUAUUCCUUCCCCGCAAGGGGCCGCUCUAUAGGUGCUGCAUGGCUGUCGUCAGCUCGUGUCGUGAGAUGUUGGGUUAAGUCCCGCAACGAGCGCAACCCUUAUUACCAGUUGCCAUCAUUAAGUUGGGCACUCAGGUGAGACCGCCUCGGAUAACGGGGAGGAAGGCGGGGAUGACGUCAAGUCCUCAUGGCCUUUAUGUCCAGGGCUACACACGUGCUACAAUGGCCGGUACAAACCGUCGCAAACCCGUGAGGGGGAGCUAAUCGGAAAAAGCCGGCCUCAGUUCGGAUUGGAGUCUGCAACUCGACUCCAUGAAGCUGGAAUCGCUAGUAAUCGCGGAUCAGAACGCCGCGGUGAAUACGUUCCCGGGCCUUGUACACACCGCUCGCGA
rnacentral:rRNA from 1 species